rnacentral:rRNA from 1 species
UAACACAUGCAAGUCGAGGGGCAGCAUGAUCUUAGCUUGCUAAGAUUGAUGGCGACCGGCGCACGGGUGAGUAACGCGUAUCCAACUUCCCCUAUAGUAGAGAAUAGCCCGGCGAAAGUCGGAUUAAUGCUCUAUGUUCUCUUUGAUGGCAUCUGACGAGAAGCAAAGGUUCACCGCUAUAGGAUGGGGAUGCGUCUGAUUAGCUUGUUGGCGGGGUAACGGCCCACCAAGGCAACGAUCAGUAGGGGUUCUGAGAGGAAGGUCCCCACAUUGGUACUGAGACACGGACCAAACUCCUACGGGAGGCAGCAGUGAGGAAUAUUGGUCAAUGGGCGAGAGCCUGAACCAGCCAAGUAGCGUGCAGGACGACUGCCCUAUGGGUUGUAAACUGUCUUUUAGUAGGGGAAUAAAGUGAGGAACGUGUUCCUUUUGUAUGUACCCUAUGAAUAAGGACCGGCUAAUUCCGUGCC